AUUGACGGGGGCCCGCACAAGCGGUGGAGCAUGUGGUUUAAUUCGAAGCAACGCGAAGAACCUUACCAAAUCUUGACAUCCUUUGACAACUCUAGAGAUAGAGCCUUCCCCUUCGGGGGACAAAGUGACAGGUGGUGCAUGGUUGUCGUCAGCUCGUGUCGUGAGAUGUUGGGUUAAGUCCCGCAACGAGCGCAACCCUUAAGCUUAGUUGCCAUCAUUAAGUUGGGCACUCUAAGUUGACUGCCGGUGACAAACCGGAGGAAGGUGGGGAUGACGUCAAAUCAUCAUGCCCCUUAUGAUUUGGGCUACACACGUGCUACAAUGGACAAUACAAAGGGCAGCGAAACCGCGAGGUCAAGCAAAUCCCAUAAAGUUGUUCUCAGUUCGGAUUGUAGUCUGCAACUCGACUACAUGAAGCUGGAAUCGCUAGUAAUCGUAGAUCAGCAUGCUACGGUGAAUACGUUCCCGGGCCUUGUACACACCGCCCGUCACACCACGAGAGUUUGUAACACCCGAAGCCGGUGGAGUAACCUUUUAGGAGCUAGCCGUCGAAGGUGGGACAAAUGAUUGGGGUGAAGUCGUAACAAGGUAGCCGUAUCGGAAGGUGCGGCUGGAUCACCUCCUUU
rnacentral:rRNA from 1 species